rnacentral:rRNA from 1 species
UACAGAGGUCUCAAGCGUUGCUCGGAAUUACUGGGCGUAAAGGGUGUGUAGGCGGAUACUUAAGUCGGGGGUGAAAGCCCAGGGCUCAACCCUGGAAUAGCCUUCGAUACUGGGUAUCUUGAGUUCGGGAGAGGUAAGCGGAACUCCGAGUGUAGAGGUGAAAUUCGUAGAUAUUCGGAAGAACACCAGUGGCGAAGGCGGCUCACUGGCCCGAUACUGACGCUGAGGCACGAAAGCGUGGGGAGCAAACAGG